CUUAACGGAAUCAGGGGAAAGCGCAUCAACGUAAAACUAUCGCUUCAAUCUGUUCAGGCGUCUAUCCAUCAUUUAUCCCGGGUAUAUUCACUAUAAAACAUUGAAAAAUUACUCUAAAAAGAGAAGAGAAAUUGUUCAGAUUCCAAUUUCGUAAAUUCCAUCAAGGGAUCCCCGGGUCAAUUGUUUUUGAAUGUUUAUUGCGGACGAUUAUCGGGAUUAAGUUUGCAGAUAAUUGUAAUUAUGGAAGAGGACACCAAUGCACGGCAGGAGGAAAAAAUUGGGGAGAUUUUAGCGCGGCACCAAGGAGAUUAAUCGGUGCCGAUGACGGAAUUCAUUUUUUUUCUGCUCAAUCCAGUCAAUGUGUCAACUCGUUUGAACAUUCAACGAUUUACCUCGCUACAUUUAUUCCUCAGAAUUAUUAACGAAAUUCUUUGCGUAUUUUUGUCAAAUUUCCUGUUGCACGAACAUUCUUUUUUCUUGGGUAUCCAUCCAACUAUCUGAUUAUGAUGGCUAAAACCAUUUAAAGUUUCCGGAAAUUUUUCGAAUCUGAAGAUUGUAUGAUGUGUAUAGAAUUUUUCACAUGUUAGUAGGACGUGAUGAGUGAAUUUUUUAGAAAAAUAAUGAAUCUAAUUUUACCCUUUUGACCUUUAAAAUGAUAUGACGAAUAUGUUGAAAAUAGAAAAAUACCAGUAAUAUUAGGGAUUUUGGUGUUACCGUAAGAAUGUAUAUUUUUCUUCCUUUAGAUUUUCUCGAUUUAAUGAGACAAAAUAUAUGAGCA